GCGGCACGCCUAACACAUGCAAGUCGAGCGGCAGCGCGAUAUGUAGCAAUACAUAUUGGCGGCGACCGGCGCACGGGUGCGUAACGCGUAUGCAAUCUACCUUUUACAGAGGGAUAGCCCAGAGAAAUUUGGAUUAAUACCUCAUAGUAUUUUCGAAUGGCAUCAUUUGAUUAUUAAAGUUCCAACGGUAAAAGAUGAGCAUGCGUCCUAUUAGCUAGAUGGUAAGGUAACGGCUUACCAUGGCAACGAUAGGUAGGGGUCCUGAGAGGGAGAUCCCCCACACUGGUACUGAGACACGGACCAGACUCCUACGGGAGGCAGCAGUGAGGAAUAUUGGACAAUGGGCGCAAGCCUGAUCCAGCCAUGCCGCGUGCAGGAAGACGCAUCUAUGGUGUGUAAACUGCUUUUGUACGGGAAGAAACACUCCCUCGUGAGGGAGCUUGACGGUACCGUAAGAAUAAGGAUCGGCUAACUCCAUGCCAGCCGCCGCCGUAAGAC
rnacentral:rRNA from 1 species